AGCGUACACGGUGGAUGCCUAGGCAGUCAGAGGCGAUGAAGGGCGUGUUAAUCUGCGAUAAGCGUCGGUAAGGUGAUAUAAACCGUUACAACCGGCGAUACCCGAAUGGGGAAACCCAGUGCAAUUCGUUGCACUAUCAUACGAUGAAUACAUAGUCGUAUGAGGCGAACCGGGGGAACUGAAACAUCUAAGUACCCCGAGGAAAAGAAAUCAACCGAGAUUCCCCCAGUAGCGGCGAGCGAACGGGGAGGAGCCCAGAACCUGAAUCAGUUCUUGUGUUAGUGGAAGCGUCUGGAAAGUCGCACAGUAAAGGGUGAUAGUCCCGUACACUAAAAUGCAUUAAUUGUGAGUUCGAUGAGUAGGGCGGGACACGUGACAUCCUGUCUGAAUAUGGGGGGACCAUCCUCCAAGGCUAAAUACUCCUGACUGACCGAUAGUGAACCAGUACCGUGAGGGAAAGGCGAAAAGAACCCCGGCGAGGGGAGUGAAAUAGAACCUGAAACCGUGUACGUACAAGCAGUGGGAGCCUACUUUGUUGGGUGACUGCGUACCUUUUGUAUAAUGGGUCAGCGACUUAUAUUUUGUAGCAAGGUUAACCGUAUAGGGGAGCCGUAGGGAAACCGAGUCUUAACUGGGCGAAUAGUUGCAAGGUAUAGACCCGAAACCCGGUGAUCUAGCCAUGGGCAGGUUGAAGGUUGGGUAACACUAACUGGAGGACCGAACCGACUAAUGUUGAAAAAUUAGCGGAUGACUUGUGGCUGGGGGUGAAAGGCCAAUCAAACCGGGAGAUAGCUGGUUCUCCCCGAAAGCUAUUUAGGUAGCGCCUCGUGAACUCAUCUUCGGGGGUAGAGCACUGUUUCGGCUAGGGGGCCAUCCCGGCUUACCAAACCGAUGCAAACUCCGAAUACCGAAGAAUGUUAUCACGGGAGACACACGGCGGGUGCUAACGUCCGUCGUGAAGAGGGAAACAACCCAGACCGCCAGCUAAGGUCCCAAAGUCAUGGUUAAGUGGGAAACGAUGUGGGAAGGCAUAGACAGCCAGGAUGUUGGCUUAGAAGCAGCCAUCAUUUAAAGAAAGCGUAAUAGCUCACUGGUCGAGUCGGCCUGCGCGGAAGAUGUAACGGGGCUAAACCAUGCACCGAAGCUGCGGCAGCGACGCUUAGGCGUUGUUGGGUAGGGGAGCGUUCUGUAAGCCGUUGAAGGUGGCCUGUGAGGGUUGCUGGAGGUAUCAGAAGUGCGAAUGCUGACAUAAGUAACGAUAAAGCGGGUGAAAAACCCGCUCGCCGGAAGACCAAGGGUUCCUGUCCAACGUUAAUCGGGGCAGGGUGAGUCGACCCCUAAGGCGAGGCCGAAAGGCGUAGUCGAUGGGAAACAGGUUAAUAUUCCUGUACUCGGUGUUACUGCGAAGGGGGGACGGAGAAGGCUAGGCUAGCCGGGCGACGGUUGUCCCGGUUUAAGCGUGUAGGGGGAGUGACUUGGUAAAUCCGGUUACUUAUUCAACCCUGAGGCGUGAUGACGAUGCACUACGGUGCAGAAGUAGUUGAUGCCAAGCUUCCAGGAAAAGCCUCUAAGCAUCAGGUAACAUCAAAUCGUACCCCAAACCGACACAGGUGGUCAGGUAGAGAAUACCAAGGCGCUUGAGAGAACUCGGGUGAAGGAACUAGGCAAAAUGGUGCCGUAACUUCGGGAGAAGGCACGCUGGCGCGUAGGUGAAGAGACUUGCUCUCGGAGCUGAAGCCAGUCGCAGAUACCAGCUGGCUGCAACUGUUUAAUAAAAACACAGCACUGUGCAAACACGAAAGUGGACGUAUACGGUGUGACGCCUGCCCGGUGCUGGAAGGUUAAUUGAUGGGGUCAGCCGCAAGGCGAAGCUCUUGAUCGAAGCCCCAGUAAACGGCGGCCGUAACUAUAACGGUCCUAAGGUAGCGAAAUUCCUUGUCGGGUAAGUUCCGACCUGCACGAAUGGCGUAAUGAUGGCCAGGCUGUCUCCACCCGAGACUCAGUGAAAUUGAACUCGCUGUGAAGAUGCAGUGUACCCGCGGCAAGACGGAAAGACCCCGUGAACCUUUACUAUAGCUUGACACUGAACAUUGAGCCUUGAUGUGUAGGAUAGGUGGGAGGCUUUGAAGCGUGGACGCCAGUCUGCGUGGAGCCAACCUUGAAAUACCACCCUUUAAUGUUUGAUGUUCUAACUCGGCCCCGUAAUCCGGGGUGAGGACAGUGUCUGGUGGGUAGUUUGACUGGGGCGGUCUCCUCCCAAAGAGUAACGGAGGAGCACGAAGGUUAGCUAAUCACGGUCGGACAUCGUGAGGUUAGUGCAAAGGCAUAAGCUAGCUUGACUGCGAGAGUGACGGCUCGAGCAGGUACGAAAGUAGGUCUUAGUGAUCCGGUGGUUCUGAAUGGAAGGGCCAUCGCUCAACGGAUAAAAGGUACUCCGGGGAUAACAGGCUGAUACCGCCCAAGAGUUCAUAUCGACGGCGGUGUUUGGCACCUCGAUGUCGGCUCAUCACAUCCUGGGGCUGAAGUAGGUCCCAAGGGUAUGGCUGUUCGCCAUUUAAAGUGGUACGCGAGCUGGGUUUAGAACGUCGUGAGACAGUUCGGUCCCUAUCUGCCGUGGGCGUUGGAAGAUUGAGAGGGGUUGCUCCUAGUACGAGAGGACCGGAGUGAACGCACCACUGGUGUUCGGGUUGUCAUGCCAAUGGCAUUGCCCGGUAGCUAAGUGCGGAAAAGAUAAGCGCUGAAAGCAUCUAAGCGCGAAACUUGCCUCGAGAUGAGUCUUCCCUGGGAACUUGA
rnacentral:rRNA from 1 species